rnacentral:ncRNA from 1 species
AUGAGCCGCAUGCGGGGAGACCCGCACGUACGGUUUUCAGGGGUAUCCAGCCGGCCGACACCCACCCGAC